rnacentral:rRNA from 1 species
CACGUAGGCGGCUCGGCAAAUCAGUCGUGGAAUCCCGACGCUUACCGUCGGAACGGCGGCUGAAAAUACCGGGCUUGAGGGCGUGAGGGGUCACUGGAACUCCAGGUGAAGCGGUGAAAUGCGUAGAUAUCUGGAGGAACGCCGGAGGCGAAAGCGAGUGACUGGCGCGUUCCUGACGCUGAGGUGCGAAAGCUAGGGGAGCAAACA